rfam:Taeniopygia guttata chromosome 1A, whole genome shotgun sequence.
UCGACGGCUCUUUUAAGAGCCAUCAACAUUUUCGUAAACGGGCUG